rnacentral:lncRNA from 1 species
GGCACUAUCUAUACUUUAUAAAUGACCCGUUACUGAAAGACAUACCAUUAGUAGACACUUCUGCAGCAACUGAUGUAAAGUGUGACUACACACAUUCUCCGUCAAAGUCUCCAAAAAUGACCUCAGACGUUAAGAUGUUAAACAUAUCAAUGGCAAAAAUACACAACACAGCAUCGGGGAAGUGAAAUAUUUAUUUGUACAUUUUUGAAAUAUCAUAACUUAGUCGUCCGAGUGCCCUAUAUUUGUGCUUUUUAGCCAGCCAUUUGUUCCAUUCAAUAACUUUAAGGUGAUCAGAAAGCAAACUCUGUUUGCUUUCCGGUGAGCCUCCAAAUCUGCUCCUUGUAGCCUACCCUCAAUAUUGCAUUUGAUUUGUGGCCUUAACAGGUGCUUUUUAUGUAGCCAUUUUGAUGAGCUUCAAACUUCGUUUCUUUGCACUGAGCCUAAAAAUAAGAUCCUGCAGUUUCCUUUUUAAUCUAGUCAUUUAAUUUAAUCUAGUCAUCAUCCAAAAUGAUUGCAAAAUAUGUGAAACGAUGUGGGCUGUCAUUAUUAAAUUAGUAUUCCUACACACGCAUUUAAUCUACCACACAAACCAAUCUAACCUCUUACUCUCAUUCACAUCAGUAACGGAAGGAAGAAUUAAGUAAAGUGAGGGUUUAUGGUACAGUCCCGCCAACUGUUGUCCUUCGGCCACAAAUGUCUCACCAGAAAACAAAAAUAACGUUAGUUAGCUGACGAGUAAUACAUUAAAAAGUUGUUAAGAAAAAAUGUCCAGUUUAUUUAGCUAAUAUUUCCAUCACAUGAAAAAAUUAAACACGUAACAUGAAUUACUUUGAUUUGAUACCCAUGAAUAGUUCCUACAGCGUUGAGCAGACGGGGACACAAAAUCAAGUGGCACUGAGUUUCACAACACGAGGGAGUCGGGACACAAAUACUGCACAAUGGAACGUGCUCAUACUGGGUCUUGUUCAACCUCAAAAGUAGCUGGCUCAAAACUUUCUAGACCAUCGGAAACAAUGAAGAGAAAUAUCCCUGUCAUUGAUGAAUCCGUUGCGGAGGACGUAGCGGAAAUUUCUUCCACCGUGGCCCCAAAUGCACAAAUAACUGCUAAAAGACUACGCCAUGAGCUGGAGAUGGCCAAACAAAAAGUGGCAGCAGGAGAUGCUCAAGGAAGUGACCAAGGAGAGAGACUUUCUAAGGGAACAACUGGCUAUGAGUAAGUCAUUUUGUCAUGUUUGACAAUACACUUG